UAUACAGAAGCAGAAGAACAACAAUUAAAAGAAGAAGGGAAAGUUGGCACCCAAGCAAACUUGUACAGACCAGCCUCAUCUUUACCAAGAUCCAGAGGCAUCUUCAGAGAAGGGGCCUGUAACAUAUGAAGGAAACAGGAAGUUGCAGUAAACAAGACUAUGCAAUGCAACCGUUUUACUAGUUUGUGGACAGAAAUCAAGUUGUGUUUGAAAGAAAGAACAAACAAGACAUCAUGAAGAAUGAUGAAUGGAGUUAAUGCAAAAGAUCAUGUGCAUGUCACUUUCACUUUAUAUCCAUUAGGAAGAGUUACAAGAUAGGGCACAGUUAAAGGUGUAAGGUUAUCUUUCAGGAGGAUUCCCAUGAGGAGCAGACAUAUUUCCUUCAGAAGAAGGGAAAUCCACACCAAUAGUGAUAUGAGCAGCAGCAAGUCUCCUUUCCUUGUUAAAUUUGAUAUUUUGUGGAUACCCAUGAAUAUUGUAACACUUAUCAAUUAAGUGCCCAGACUUUUUGCAGUAUCUACAGAAGUACAGAACCUCUAGAUGGGUAAUUAACUCUUUGUCUGAAAGGAGAAGGAUUAGGCACUGUGAACUGAUUGAUUCCAACUGAAUGUUUGUUUGUGUUGACAUUGAAAGACAUAGAGUCUGGAUUUAACUGAGAAAUGGACUGGACUUGUCUCUGUUUCUCAUGAUUGAGGACUAUAUUAUUGACACUAUCAAGGGUAGGAGGAGGCUGUAUCAUCAGUAAGUUACUCCUUACCCCCAUGUAUGCUUCAUUAAGGCCCAUGAGAAACUGAAACACCUUAUUCUCAUCAUCUUCCUGUAUGAUGCCAUUU
rnacentral:lncRNA from 1 species